CAGCCGCCGCGGUAAUACGUAGGGUGCGAGCGUUAAUCGGAAUUACUGGGCGUAAAGCGUGCGCAGGCGGUUGUGUAAGACAGGUGUGAAAUCCCCGGGCUUAACCUGGGAACUGCGCUUGUGACUGCACAGCUAGAGUAUGGCAGAGGGGGGUGGAAUUCCACGUGUAGCAGUGAAAUGCGUAGAGAUGUGGAGGAACACCGAUGGCGAAGGCAGCCCCCUGGGCCAGUACUGACGCUCAUGCACGAAAGCGUGGGGAGCAAACAGGAUUAGAUACCCGAGUAGUCCCUGUCUCUUAACA
rnacentral:rRNA from 1 species